CCUACGGGAGGCAGCAGUAGGGAAUCUUAGACAAUGGGGGCAACCCUGAUCUAGCCAUGCCGCGUGUGUGAUGAAGGCCCUAGGGUCGUAAAGCACUUUCGCCAGAGAUGAUAAUGACAGUAUCUGGUAAAGAAACCCCGGCUAACUCCGUGCCAGCAGCCGCGGUAAUACGGAGGGGGUUAGCGUUGUUCGGAAUUACUGGGCGUAAAGCGCACGUAGGCGGAUUAGUAAGUUAGAGGUGAAAUCCCAGGGCUCAACCCUGGAACUGCCUUUAAUACUGCUAGUCUUGAGUUCGAGAGAGGUAAGUGGGAUUCCGAGUGUAGAGGUGAAAUUCGUAGAUAUUCGGAGGAACACCAGUGGCGAAGGCGGCUUACUGGCUCGAUACUGACGCUGAGGUGCGAAAGUGUGGGGAGCAAACAGGAUUAGAUACCCUGGUAGUCCACACCGUAAACGAUGAAUGCCAGACGUCAGCAAGUAUACUUGUUGGUGUCACACCUAACGGAUUAAGCAUUCCGCCUGGGGAGUACGGUCGCAAGAUUAAAACUCAAAGGAAUUGACGG
rnacentral:rRNA from 1 species